CUUCACCGAACCCAGCCACAGCGAUUGCGACCGUUCUCGGCCGUAGGUGGCCAGCAGCGCCUGAGCCUC
rnacentral:antisense_RNA from 1 species